GCUCAGGAUGAACGCUGGCGGCGUGCUUAACACAUGCAAGUCGAACGGAGUACCCCCGAAGGAGUUUUCGGACAACUGAUGGGACUACUUAGUGGCGGACGGGUGAGUAACGCGUGAGUAACCUGCCUUGGAGUGGGGAAUAACAGCUGGAAACAGCUGCUAAUACCGCAUAAUAUGUCUGUGUCGCAUGGCACUGGACAUCAAAGAUUUAUCGCUCUGAGAUGGACUCGCGUCUGAUUAGCUAGUUGGCGGGGUAACGGCCCACCAAGGCGACGAUCAGUAGCCGGACUGAGAGGUUGGCCGGUCACAUUGGGACUGAGACACGGCCCAGACUCCUACGGGAGGCAGCAGUGGGGAAUAUUGGGCAAUGGGCGCAAGCCUGACCCAGCAACGCCGCGUGAAGGAAGAAGGCUUUCGGGUUGUAAACCUCUUUUCUCAGGGACGAAGCAAGUGACGGUACCUGAGGAAUAAGCCACGGCUAACUACGUGCCAGCAGCCACGGUAA
rnacentral:rRNA from 1 species